AUGCUCUCAUCAGUGCUGCUGCUGCUCACAGCUGCAUUCUGUGGUGUUGGUGCUGUGGAGCUCACUCAGUCAGCCUCUGUGCUCGUGAAACCUGGAGAGUCGUUCUCCAUCUCUUGUAAGACCUCAGAGUCGAGCUAUUGUAUUAACUGGAUACGACAACCUGCUGGGAAAGCUCUUGAAUGGCUCGGAUAUCUGUGUAGUGAUGGUAGCACUAAUCUCAAAGAUACAGUAAAGAGCAAGAUCAGUUUCAGCCAGGACACAUCCAGCAGAACAGUUUAUUUAAGAGGACAAAACUCUCAGACCGAGGACACGGCUGUGUAUUACUGUGCCAGAGACACACAGCACUACAGACUCCCUGCAGUCCUAGCUGCACUCAACACAGCUCCUCUGUAA